rnacentral:rRNA from 1 species
AACAAACGCUGGCGGCGUGCCUAAUACAUGCAAGUCGAACGGGGAAAGCUUUCGGGUGAGUACUAGUGGCGCACGGGUGAGGAACGCGUGGAUAAUCUGCCUUGAGUGGGGGAUAACUAGUCGAAAGAUUAGCUAAUACCGCAUAAGACCACAGGAGCUGCGGCUCAAGGGGUCAAAGGUUUUUCGCUCUAAGAUGAGUCCGCGUAAGAUUAGCUAGUUGGUGAGGUAACGGCUCACCAAGGCGACGAUCUUUAACUGGUCUGAGAGGAUGAUCAGGCACACUGAAACUGAGACACGGUCCAGACUCCUACGGGAGGCAGCAGUAGGGAAUAUUGCACAAUGGAGGAAACUCUGAUGCAGCGACGCCGCGUGAGUGAUGAAGGCCUUCGGGUCGUAAAGCUCUGUCGCAGGGGAAUAACACAAUGAAGGUACCCUGUAAGAAAGGAUCGGCUAACUUCGUGCCAGCAGCCGCCGCAGUAA